rnacentral:rRNA from 1 species
UACAGAGGGGGCAAGCGUUGUUCGGAAUUACUGGGCGUAAAGGGCGCGUAGGCGGCCUGUUAAGUCGAACGUGAAAUCCCCGGGCUCAACCCGGGAACUGCGUCCGAUACUGGCAGGCUUGAAUCCGGGAGAGGGACGUGGAAUUCCAGGUGUAGCGGUGAAAUGCGUAGAUAUCUGGAGGAACACCGGUGGCGAAGGCGACGUCCUGGACCGGCAUUGACGCUGAGGCGCGAAAGCCAGGGGAGCAAACGGG